rnacentral:tRNA from 1 species
GUGGUUGUGGCUCAGUGGUAGAGCGCUUGCCUAGCAUGCAUGAGACACUAGGUUUGAUCCUCAUCACCACA